rnacentral:rRNA from 1 species
CCUACGGGAGGCAGCAGUGGGGAAUAUUGGUCAAUGGGCGCAAGCCUGACCCAGCAACGCCGCGUGAAGGAAGACGGCUUUCGGGUUGUAAACUUCUUUUCUGAGGGACGAAGAAAGUGACGGUACCUCAGGAAUAAGCCACUGCUAACUACGUGCCAGCAGCCGCUGUAAUACGUAGGUGGCAAGCGUUAUCCGGAUUUAAUGGGUGUAAAGGGCGUGUAGGCGGGAAAGCAAGUCAGAUGUGAAAACUCAGGGCUCAACCCUGCGCCUGCAUUUGAUACUGUUUUUCUUGAGUGCUGGAGAGGUAAGCGGAAUGCCGGGUGUAGCGGUGAAAUGCGUAGAUAUACGGAGGAACACCAGUGGCGAAGGCGGAUUGCUGGACAGUAACUGACGCUGAGGCGCGAAAGCGUGGGGAGCAAACAGGAUUAGAUACCCGUGUAGUC